rnacentral:rRNA from 1 species
UACGUAGGGGGCUAGCGUUGUCCGGAAUCAUUGGGCGUAAAGAGCGUGUAGGCGGUCCGGUAAGUCCGCUGUGAAAGUCGGGGGCUCAACCCUCGAAUGCCGGUGGAUACUGUCGGGCUAGAGUGCGGAAGAGGAGAAUGGAAUUCCCGGUGUAGCGGUGAAAUGCGCAGAUAUCAGGAGGAACACCGGUGGCGAAGGCGGGUCUCUGGGCCGAUACUGACGCUGAGGAGCGAAAGCGUGGGGAGCGAACAGG